UUUUACUUUUCUUUCUCACUCACCCACUACUUCCUUCUUCCUCCUUCCACUUCUUCCUCCUUCUUCCUCUUUCUUCUGUUUCCUUUUUUUUAAAAUCAAAUAGAAACAAGCGAUAAUCCCCGACAUCGGAUCUGAUUUUUUUGUAUUAUUUUGUGCAGCAACAACAUUUAUAAAUGACUCUAGAUUGUGGUUCUUUACACCAAAGCGGUUGUGGUUGAAGGCCCCCAGUCUCAAGAAGAUCCAUAAUAAUAAUGGAAAUCAGAAUUAUUUUCAACCAGCAUAAGGUUCUUUAGGUUUGAUCUAUGGGUUUCUAAGUUCUUUAGGCUUGGGAAGGACAAAUUUAUGCCUUCUGAAUGGGAAGGACAAACUCGUCACAUUGUUGAUAUUUUGAGAGAUUUUCCAAUGCCUACUGCAGGAAGUUAUGGGUUAUUUUUGACAUCUGAAACAAAUUUUUAACAACUUUUGAACAUAGCUGUAAUAGGUACUACAAGUAGUCAAAAUCAAGAAACAGAUAAAGUUAACUAUCUUAGGGAGGGAUGACUUUUGGUUACUUUCAAUGAAUUGAGUUGUUUUCUGUGAUGUUCUAUUUCCAAAAUAAAGUGAAAUAUAUAAAUACAUUUAUUUGAUCAUUUCUAAAGUUAUUGCUUUCUAUAUAUAUUGGAUUGAAUGUAUUAAUUUUUCUUUGAUUUCACUUAAUUUUUUUUAUUUCUUUAAUAAAUAAGAAAUAUAAUAAAAUAUAAUUUAUUAUUAUUAAAAGUGAAAAAUAUAAAAAUUAAAAUAGACAAGUUGUAGUACAAAGAUGUGUCCCAGUAUACUGCAGCUCACACUAGCAAGGUAUUGUCACAUAUGACUAUUUUCUAAACCAUUACUAUUCAUAUAGACUCAUCUAACUAAUUUUUUUGAAAGACAUUAUCAGGGUUCAUUUGAACCAUUGAAACACUUACUACAUUACAACAAAUCUAAAAAUGAUUU